ensembl:ncRNA B0336.14 ncRNA
AAAAAUAGUUUCACAAAAGACUUCUCAACUUGUUUGUGCUAGAAACAAGUCGAAGAAUGGAUAAUAAAAGUCGAAGAUAUCGGAUUGCAGUGCGAAUUGCGCAAUAAUCCUCUCGGAUAUCCCAUCUCAAAUAUUG